rnacentral:tRNA from 1 species
GGACGGGUGGCCGAGCGGUCUAAGGCGCACGCCUGGAGAGCGUGUGGGCGCCACAAGCGCCUCGUGGGUUCGAAUCCCACCCCGUCCG